CACGUAGGCGGACCGGAAAGUUGGAGGUGAAAUCCCAGGGCUCAACCUUGGAACUGCCUUCAAAACUAUCGGUCUGGAGUUCGAGAGAGGUGAGUGGAAUUCCGAGUGUAGAGGUGAAAUGCGUAGAUAUUGGGAGGAACACCAGUGGCGAAGGCGCCUUUCUGGACUGUGUCUGACGCUGAGAUGCGAAAGCCAGGGUAGCGAACG
rnacentral:rRNA from 1 species